ACUGGUAGCUCCACUUUUAGAGAGAGAAGUUCCUACAUCUCUCUAGAAAACUCAAACAGAAACAGCUUUCUCCCUGCGUUGGUUUGUUUUGUGCUUGUAAAUAAGGCUUCGGCGGCUGCGGUUAUGGUGGCUUAAAGGGUGACGAGUGUUUGGCUCAUGGCUGUAGUGUUGUGGAGCACGGUGAGAUAAUGAAAACACCGCCGGAGCUUACCCCAGGCCCAUAGAAAAAGAAUGGCCCCACCACCAUCGAGUCCUUCACCUAAAAAGCAAAACAACGCAGCGGCUGCCAUUCCUACAAAGCCUACGAUGGCAACAAUCCUUGCUGUCGGUGGAAGGGUUGCAACGGUGGAGCUGGAUGUGGUGGUCCUAAACGAUGGAGGUGGAGGGUCUCAGUGUGAGUGGUUUUUGUGGUGUUUGGCACCCUCAGCUGCUUGGAGUGCUCAACCACUGGAUUCCUAGCUUAACGGCAUGCUUGGAGAGCUCCAUCUAUGAUGGUUCUUGGCGUGGGUGUUGUGGUGCAACUCGGAGGAGCUUCAGUGCUCCUGCGGUCAUGCUUUCCACGGAUCCCAAAAUGGUGGAGAGGGGUGGAUGCAUACUAAUGUGCAUGGAAUGCUGUGUUUUGACCAUGGAAAACAGAGGAGCUUUUCGACUGCUAGGGUGAAUUCUUUUAUGGGAUAGCUCACGGCGGUGCAACCACGGUGGUUGACUAGUCUACAGUUGUUGCAACAGCAGUGGGUUUAGUGUCGUGGUUAUCGCACUCCGAGUAACAUGCCGUGAUGUCGGGGGAGGCACCCAUGCUCGCUAUCCAAAAUGUGCAGAAAAAGUGGGUGUUGUCAAGAAACAGCUAUCAAGGCGUGGGCUGGACAACAGACCAUCGUGAUCACAGCCAGUCGAAGGACCUUUUCAAAUUUGAGUGCUUCUAUACGGCCGCCUACACAACACACCUUACGUGUAAUUUCUUUAUUUUUUUUUUUUUUUUUUAACAUGCGUUUUGUUUUACUUUUGCUGUUAUUUCAGCCUCCUACCAUUUGAAAUGUUCUCUGGCCCCCGCCAUUCGAAUUUCGAAAUCUUCUCCAGCCCCCUCCCUUCCGACGCGCACCAAUAGCCUUCGUGUGUGCUCCACCGUGCCGACGUACUCCCCCAUGUUCUCUCGGCGACGACGAUCUGUUCGCAGCAUUCACUUUUUACGGAUCGACCAAGAUCUGCCUCAGAUUGUGUAGCUGAGCUUUCUCUCUCUCAAAGGUGUUUGUGAAAUGGAAACUGUGAUGGAGUGAGAGAGGGAGAAAGAAAGCAUGCAUACUGAUUUGGUGCAAUCUUACAGCAUCGUGUGACUAGACAGGUGACAACUGAUUUUUUGGCAGCAUUGUGAGACUGGACUUGAGAAUUAUUUUUUGGCAGCUUGUAUACAUGCUGCUUUCCAGACAUGUUGUGCAGAAUUUUCUGGGGACAUAAAUAUCAGCAGCUUGUGUGGAGAAACAUGGCUAGAUUGUGUAUAUGCUGUUUGUGGGCAGUUAUGUGUACCAUCCAUGUACAUAAAUGUUGUGGAUUGUGUCCAAGUGUAUGUGUAUGGAUGUUUUUGUGUCCAGUUGUGUAAGCACUUAGUGAAUAUUUUCGAUUGUGGAGACCUUUAACAAUGUUGAUGUAUAGAUUUUGAUUCCUUUAACAAUGCUUAUGUAUAGAUUUUGAUUCCAAAUCUUACUUAUCAAAAAAAGAUUUUGAUUCCAAAUCAGGAAUUUGGAGUAUUUGUUGUAAAGCUUACCAUGUGUAUUUGUAUAUGAAAUCAAUCAUGGUUCAAUGUCAA